AGAGUUUGAUCAUGGCUCAGAACGAACGUUGGCGGCGUGGAUUAGGCAUGCAAGUCGAACGAAUCCCGGCGCGGGGUAACUCGCGCCGGGGGAAGUGGCGAAAGGGGCAGUAAGGCGUGGACAACCUGCCCGGGGGACGGGGAUAGCCGCUCUAACGAGCGGGUAAUACCCGGCGACCUGGCCGAGGGGCAUCUCUCGGCCAGCAAAGGAGUUUCGCCCCCGGAGGGGUCCACGUGGUAUUACCUGGUUGGCGGGGUAACGGCCCACCAAGGGGAAGAUGCCUAGCAGGUGUGAGAGCACGACCUGCGCCACUGGCACUGGGACACUGGCCAGACUCCUACGGGAGGCUGCAGUCGAGGAUCUUCGGCAAUGGGCGCAAGCCUGACCGAGCGACGCCGCGUGUGCGACGAAGGCCUUCGGGUUGUAAAGCACUGUCGGGGGGACGAAAGGCCGCAAGGCUUGAUCGGCCCCCGGAGGAAGCACGGGCUAAGUUCGUGCCAGCAGCCGCGGUAAGACGAACCGUGCGAACGUUGUUCGGAUUCACUGGGCUUAAAGGGCGCGUAGGCGGGCCGGCGAGUCGGGGGUGAAACCGUUCGGCCCAACCGGACGAGGGCCCCCGAUACCGCCGGCCUCGAGGGGGGUAGGGGCGUGCGGAACUUCCGGUGGAGCGGUGAAAUGCGUAGAUAUCGGAAGGAACGCCGGUGGCGAAAGCGGCGCGCUGGACCCCGCCUGACGCUGAGGCGCGAAAGCCAGGGGAGCGAACGGGAUUAGAUACCCCGGUAGUCC
rnacentral:rRNA from 1 species